rnacentral:rRNA from 1 species
UAGGGGCUAGCCCCAUGCUUCAACCUAGUACGCAAUGCCUAAGUAUUAGUUGACACCCCCUUCGUUAAAUGAGGUAAAUAAAGUUUUAUUUUGGUAAAAGUGCUUUCUAUAAGGCUGCUUUACAUGUAAGGUAUGUUCUCUAAAAGAACGGGAAAAUGGGCACAGUAUUUAAUAUUAAUUAUCAGGGGAACCUGGAUUUGGUAAGCUUAAUUAGUUUUGGUCAAAUUUGUGCCAGCGACCGCGGUUAGACAAAUAACGCGAGAUAGCAUUUUUGGAUAAAGUUAGUUAGAAAGUAGAACGGAAAGGUCACAUUUUUAGGUGAAAUUUUAAUUGAUAAGAAGGGCAAACUUGGGUUAAUGAAUCUUAAGAACCCAGGGGGUAAACUAGGAUUAGAGACCCUACUAUUCUGGGUAUUAAAGGAUGUCCUGAGUAUUAAAAGUUAUGGGCUUCAAACUCAAAAAAUUUGGCGGUGGUUUAACUGAUCAGAGGAAUUUGCCCUGUAAUCGAUAACCCCCGAGGAUUCUACUCAGACUUGCAGUCAACUUGUAUACCGCCGUCACCAGGAAAUUUUUAGAAAGUAUUUUCGAGAUCUUGUGAGAGAAAAUGUCAGGUCAAGGUGCAGUUAAUGUCUGAGCAGAGGUGAAUUACAAUAAAAUAAUUUAAUACGAAAGGUUUGGUGUAAUGAGACCAGAAGGUGGAUUUGGAAGUAAUACUGUUGAUCAUGAGGGUAUAAUAUCAGCUCUAAACCGUGCACACAUCGCCCGUCGCUCUCAUGUAUAAUGAGAUAAGUCGUAACAUAGUAGGUGUACCGGAAGGUGUACCUAGAUUGAC